GAGGAACUACAAAAAUACUGCUAAGGAAAAGGAUGACUGAAAUUCUGUGCCUAGCUUGUUGCCACUGUGACUCAACUUCAGAUAAACAAAAGAAGAUGGCUGGAUGGACAGAAGAACGGAUGGGUUUUUGCUCUAGGACGUUUGGGAGUACAGCCAGUACUUGGUCAUGGCACCACUUGUAUCUGCCUUGGUUAAGAGCAGACAUGUACCCUAAUAAGAUAUGUACCAGGGUCCCUGUAGAACUUGGACAUUAGGUCAUCUCUCAUGCCCCUGCUGUGCAGAUGUGGAAUGGCUCCAGAAGUCAACCCAAGUGUCAAAGAGCCCAAAUGCAGACUCGGAAAAGGACAAUGGGAUCAAACUUAACUGGAUUUUAUUUACUAAACACUAAACACAAAUUGUGGGUGGUGCGUGGAACUCGAACAAGGGUCAGGAAUUGUGUGCGUCAUGGAACUUGCACAAGGGUCUUUUGCCUUCAAGUGGAGGGUGCCUAGGAAAAAGCAAUACUGGGCGGGUGAGUGUCCAGACAGAUGAGAGUGAGUCCAGAAUCCAACCUGAAUGGUCCAGUGAACGGGAAUCCAGUGGCAGGAGGGCAGGCAAGUGAGGAAUGGUGAUCCUGUGAUUAUGAACCAGCGGUUAGCGUUUCCAGAGAUGACCAGAGUCCGGACAGGUGAGCAUGACAGGCGUGUGGAUGAGGGCUCCGCCCAGAGGUGGAACUCAGAAACGUGGAAAAAAUGCAGCUACUCUCCUGGACCAUGACACCAAGUCACCUUCCUCUUGGGGUGGACCCAUGUUGCCCCGGAGCCCUGGGAGGUAAGCUUGACUGCUCUUUACUCUAUGUUUCUCAUUUCUGCCUCGAUCAUGGUUUUCCUCUUUGUUAAGUUAAGCUUUUCCAGACUUUUGGAAGCAUGUGAUGCCCAGACUUUGUCAUCCUGUACAGGCUGCUAAAAUAAAGUUGGCUAUUAAAGAUUCCUUUUUCUUGGACCAGUGAUUUAGAGUCCUUCCACUCUUGUCCUGAUGUAGUUUUUAACCUACUUCUCUGACCUUGUUGUCUAUUGAAUCUCUGAAGAUGAAGGCAACCCUGCAUUUGUCACU
ensembl:lncRNA